GGACAGGUGUCCGAGUGGUUUAAGGAGCAAGCCUGGAAAGUUUGUAAACGGGUAACCGUUUCGCGGGUUCGAAUCCCGCCCUGUCCGCCA
rnacentral:tRNA from 2 species